CACGUAGGGCGCAAGCGUUGUCCGGAAUUAUUGGGCGUAAAGAGCUCGUAGGCGGACUGUUGCGUCCGCUGUGAAAAGCUGGGGCUUAACCCUGGCCUUGCAGUGGAUACGGGCAGACUAGAGGUAGGUAGGGGAGAAUGGAAUUCCCGGUGUAGCGGUGAAAUGCGCAGAUAUCAGGAGGAACACCGGUGGCGAAGGCGGGUCUCUGGGCCGAUACUGACGCUGAGGAGCGAAAGCGUGGGGAGCGAACAGG
rnacentral:rRNA from 1 species